rnacentral:rRNA from 1 species
AUUGAACGCUGGCGGCAUGCCUAACACAUGCAAGUCGAGCGGAGCGGCGGACGGGUGAGUAAUGCCUCGGAACCUGCCUGGUAGCGGGGGAUAACGUCGGGAAAGGGGCGCUAAUACCGCAUACUAUUGGAGGGGCCUAGGUCGGAUUAGCUAGUUGGUGGGGUAAAGGCCUACCAAGGCGACGAUCCGUACCUGGUCUGAGAGGAGGAUCAGCCACACUGGAACUGAGACACGGCCCAGACUCCUACGGGAGGCAGCAGUGGGGAAUAUUGGACAAUGGGCGAAAGCCUGAUCCAGCCAUGCCGCGUGUGUGAAGAAGGUCUUCGGAUUGUAAAGCACUUUAAGUUGGGAGGCGUUACCUACAGAAUAAGCACCGGCUAACUACGUGCCAGCAGCCGCGGUAAUUC